UACGUAGGGUGCAAGCGUUAAUCGGAAUUACUGGGCGUAAAGCGUGCGCAGGCGGUUGUGCAAGACCGAUGUGAAAUCCCCGGGCUUAACCUGGGAAUGGCAUUGGUGACUGCACGGCUAGAGUGUGUCAGAGGGGGGUAGAAUUCCACGUGUAGCAGUGAAAUGCGUAGAGAUGCGGAGGAACACCGAUGGCGAAGGCAGCCCCCUGGGCUAGCACUGACGCUCAGGCACGAAAGCGUGGGGAGCAAACAGG
rnacentral:rRNA from 1 species